rnacentral:rRNA from 1 species
GACGAACGCUGGCGGCGCGCCUAACACAUGCAAGUCGAACGGAGCUGAGAGGAGCUUGCUUUUCUUAGCUUAGUGGCGAACGGGUGAGUAACGCGUGAGUAACCUGCCCUGGAGUGGGGGACAACAGUUGGAAACGACUGCUAAUACCGCAUAAGCCCACGGUCUCGCAUGGGACUGAGGGAAAAGGAUUUAUUCGCUUCAGGAUGGACUCGCGUCCAAUUAGCUAGUUGGUGAGGUAACGGCCCACCAAGGCGACGAUUGGUAGCCGGACUGAGAGGUUGAACGGCCACAUUGGGACUGGGACACGGCCCAGACUCCUACGGGAGGCAGCAGUGGGGGAUAUUGCACAAUGGGGGAAACCCUGAUGCAGCGACGCCGCGUGGAGGAAGAAGGUUUUCGGAUUGUAAACUCCUGUCGUUAGGGACGAUAAUG